GAGGGUAUAUCUCAAGCAGUAGAGUGCAUGCUUAGCAUGCACGAGGUCCUAGGUUCAAGCCCCAGUACCUCCU
rnacentral:tRNA from 1 species